UGCCUACGGGAGGCAGCAGUGAGGAAUAUUGGUCAAUGGGCGAGAGCCUGAACCAGCCAAGUCGCGUGAGGGAGUACUGCCCUCUGGGUUGUAAACCUCUUUUGUCGGGGAGCAAAAGCCGGACGUGUCCGUCUGUGAGAGUACCCGAAGAAAAAGCAUCGGCUAACUCCGUGCCAGCAGCCGCGGUAAUACGGAGGAUGCGAGCGUUAUCCGGAUUUAUUGGGUUUAAAGGGUGCGCAGGCGGAUUUUUAAGUCAGUUGUGAAAGUUUGCGG
rnacentral:rRNA from 1 species